rnacentral:rRNA from 1 species
GAUGAACGCUGGCGGCGUGCCUAAUACAUGCAAGUCGAGCGAACAGACGAGGAGCUUGCUCCUCUGACGUUAGCGGCGGACGGGUGAGUAACACGUGGAUAACCUACCUAUAAGACUGGGAUAACUUCGGGAAACCGGAGCUAAUACCGGAUAAUAUAUUGAACCGCAUGGUUCAAUAGUGAAAGACGGUUUUGCUGUCACUUAUAGAUGGAUCCGCGCCGCAUUAGCUAGUUGGUAAGGUAACGGCUUACCAAGGCAACGAUGCGUAGCCGACCUGAGAGGGCGAUCGGCCACACUGGAACUGAGACACGGUCCAGACUCCUACGGGAGGCAGCAGUAGGGAAUCUUCCGCAAUGGGCGAAAGCCUGACGGAGCAACGCCGCGUGAGUGAUGAAGGUCUUCGGAUCGUAAAACUCUGUUAUUAGGGAAGAACAAAUGUGUAAGUAACUAUGCACGUCUUGACGGUACCUAAUCAGAAAGCCACGGCUAAUUACGUG